UGCUGUCAAAAUCUAAUGUCAUGUUGAUGAUAUUGAAAAUAUGAGAAACAGGAAUUUACAAUUAGCUUUAUUAAUUUUUGAAUUUUGUAAAAUAAUUUAGUACACAAAAAAUAGAUUCCUGAUUAUAUUUUGAAAAUUUAUUUCCUUCAAUAUGAGUGCAGAAACACCUGAGUUUGACCAAUUUGAUGAUGAAGAUGGAGAUCAACAGUUGGGAGCUACAGCUUCAGGUAGGAAGAGAUUGUUCAGUAAAGAACUUCGUUGUAUGAUGUAUGGUUUUGGUGAUGACCAAAAUCCGUAUACUGAAAGCGUUGAUUUCUUAGAGGACCUUGUAAUAGAGUUUAUAACUGAAACUACGCAUAGAGCUAUGGAAGUUGGUAGGCCAGGCCGAGUUCAAGUUGAAGAUAUCAUAUUUUUAGUUCGCAAAGAUCAUAGAAAAUAUGCUAGAGUGAAGGAUCUAUUGACAAUGAACGAAGAGCUGAAAAAAGCUAGAAAAGCUUUUGAUGAAGUCAAGUAUGUUGAAGACCAACAAUAAGUUUGGUGGUCAAACAACAUCAUGCUCUCAGACUGAUAAUGAAAAUUUGGAUACUAAAGGUCUAUGAGAUAAUUUUUAUGAAGGUUCAAGAUUUUUGGUUGACAAUGUAAUACAAAUACUACAGGCUUAGUAAAGACACUUCUUCAAAUAUGUAUUUUGUUUAAGUAUAGUAAUAAACUUUUCUUUACAA